AGGUAAUACUCCGCUGACAACGCCAUUACGGCUCUGACAGUUAUGGACAUUUUCCCACAGAGCACCUCACCCAUAAACCUGUGACGAACACCUCAAUGUACGGUAUGUGAAGAGCGCCAUUGUGAGGAACCUCUGCUGAGAAAUAUGUAUUGAUGAUCCUGUCAGACUGGUCGCAUGUCGGAGACGUGGUUCUUAGAUUACUUUGAAAUGAUGGCGACAAAUUCCUCCGUGUAAUUCUGCAAACUAUGACUUAAAACUUUCGCUUACAUGUGCACAAAUAAUCGUGAUAAAACAGCGUCAUGUAAAUAUGUUGAUCGAAAAUUCUGAUCCAAUUCUGCUGAACCAGGAUCUCACUUUGUACUAAAAUACUGACAUUAAUGACUCCCAGUCAGAAAUAAAGGCCUGUCUCUAAUACAAGCCUACCUCAUAUACAGGCCUGGUACUUUCUGCAGUAAAAGCAAAUAUAAGACCUGGAAAGAAACUGUAUUCCGAUCAAGCGUGGUGGUUUAUGCGUCCAUGUAAACACCAAUUCCGAUCGUGACUCUCUAACCUGACUCCGUCUUCAUUCUUUAGUUAUUGAGGUCAGUACAGAAGGUUUCAUUAUUAACACUCUGACAUAAAACACAACAACAGGCGCCGUGUCUGCUCCUCCGCUAACAUUACAAUGUGUACAAACAGCGUAAUGACGUCAUAUCUGCCACACAGUGCAAACUUUGACAGAACAGUAAAAUAGGUAAGCAAGGGCGCCAUCUAGUGACAAUAUUUAACAGAGGGGAAAACUCCUAAAUUGAGUGAGCCACUAUGGUGUAGGGCCCGACUGAUAUGGAUCUUUUGGGGCCGAUGCUGAUACCGAAUAUUAGGGGGGAAAAAAUCUUUUAAAUUUUUUCAUUAAGUUACAAAAAAUAUGAAUUUAUACUGUAGAUAUCUAUGGUAUACUAUAUACUGUAAAUAUACUGUAGGCUACUGCAAAGUCAGGGAACUUUUCAAAUGGUGGAACAUUUUCAAAGUGAAAUCUAAUCUUAUUCUCCUCAUUAUAUUUCUGAAAAUAUUGGCGAAAAAUCGGCGAGUUUUGGCCGAUCACCGAUUAGUCUCAAAUGGGUUAAAAUUGGCUGAUUUGCAACACCAGUCCCGCCGCUCCACCUGUGCCACACUAGAUUAAUAUGUGGUGGUUCUUGUCUUCACAUCUUGUCUGUUUUAUACACAGUCAGUCCUAAUCUAGCAACUAACAACAUUAAAGCAGCAAUCCCUCUUAUUUUCAUGAUUUUGUUUUUAUACAACUUUUACUUGUUACCUGUACAGGUGCCCCCUGCUGGCCAUCAGAAGAACAAAAAUUUUGCAGCAUAACAUCUCUCCACGUUUCUAACAGGGUCUGUCCAGCUCCUGAUUUGUAUCCGCGCAGCAUUUCCGCAGAUUACGAUGCAAUAAAUGAGGCAUUUCUUUCAUUACCUCUGAAGAAUAAUUUGAUCUCCGUGUUUUAAAGGUCAGACAGACUUCUUUAAGCCUGUUUCAUGAGGGGCUUUGAGACUGAAUUACUUCCACAUUCUCUAUCCAUCAGAGGUUGGAACUAUUAACCACCGCUGACCUUCCCUUUUGAUUUUCUCUGUAAUAUAGGGAGAUGGUAGAUAUUCAUUUAACUAAGCCAGAACCCUGUGUGAUUAUAUGUGACAAUUAAACUUGAACCUGAUUAACCCACACACCAGCGCUGCCACUCACGCUGGAAAUAUGUUUCACCGUCUCUCUGCGGCUGAGAACAUGACACAUACAUCAGACUCUUCCUCGUCUUUACAGAGAGGUAUACAACACUGCAAGACAUCAAAGUGAGAAAAACAAGUAUGUUGCUGCACCAACAACAUGUCACUGCUGAUACUGUACGACUGCGCAUCCUUUUGAUCAAACCAUGCUCUCACUCCAGCAUCCACCUGCAAGAUCUGAGGGUUAUUGACUGAACUACCUGCUCUGCAGAGAACAGUAUAUCCUUCUGACAGUGAUAUAAUGAAUACACUCUUUAGUGUACUGCCUGUAGAAUAAAAAUAAUGACUACAUGGGAAAGUUGAUUUAAUUUCAUGAUGUACAGAUGAAAGAAUAAACGGGUUUCUCUUGUUAAUGAGCGGUAAGUCUCCAGAACUGUUUCAGGGAGGGCUGCACGGUUUUGGUCGAGAAUAAAAUCCAGAUAUUUUCUCUGAAAAUGCAAUUUUCAAUUUUUAAUUCAGUGACAACUUCACCAAACUUCACUUUAAUAAUAAAAGUUUUUCCAUCAUCUCUCAAAAUAAAAACAUUGAAAACGAUGUAGUGCGUACGCCAAGCUAUGAAAUCAGAUUUCUGUCAAAAAUAAUCAAACAAAACUUUUUCAACAUCAAACAAAAAUAAAACUUUGAGAGAGAAUAAAACUCACAAAGUCAUUUCAAAAGUAAAACUUGUAACUUGCAAACAAAUCCUUUGUUUGUCGCUGCCAGCUCUCUCAUUGGCUAGUGAAUUUUAGAGUGACAGCUCAGUGGAAACCCAUUUCGGCCGCUCGUAUCCGCGAUCUCGUUCUUUCGGUCAUUACCCAAAGUUCAUGGCGACAGGUGAGGAUCGGCACGUAGAUCGACCUGACGCUUUUUCCUAAUCCAUGUUACAGCCAUCAUGCUACUUCAACUGAGACCAGCAUGCACUUUGAUUAAACCCAUCGCUAUAUUCCUCAAGUUGAGGAGUUACUCAGACAUUUGUGAUUUGUUUGGCCUGAAAAUGUUGGAAUAAAAGUCUAAGAGUCAAAAGUUUGAUAUUGAAAUGACUACAGUUAUUUAUUCCCCACAUUGAAAUGAUAACAAUAUGACUUCAGCUGCAUUAAGGUGCUCCUAAAUAAAAGAGCAUACUGCAGUUGGAGCCGUUUAAGGGUCUCACAGGAUAAGAUAAGUGCCUCUAAAACUGAGAAUAAGAUCAUUCAGCCUGUUCUGUUUGUUAUAAGAUAAACGGUAUAAAUGCCCCGAGCAGUUUUCACAUGACAAUGGAGAAUAAAUCUUCCUGAGUAUGAAAUAUAAGACUCAAACUCAUCAGAGUGAGUGUAAUAUUACUGAGGAUUAUAGAUAUGAGAGCUCUGACAGCGGUAUGAUCAUAUUUCAGGUCUCGCCGCUAAUGUGGACUCGUUUCUUUUCUCCCAGGAUCAGGCGAGUCAUCUUUUUGGAUGGAUGACAUUUUGGAAACACUGCCUUUAAAUGCUGAGCACGCAGUUUUUUAAUGUAAAACCGUUCCUCUCUCCGGGGAAAUUACUGUACAUUUUAUCUUUAAGGCAAAUAUUACUGCGACUCAUCCUUCUCGGACUUAAUGAGAUUUUUUAAUGCAGCUUCACACGCGUGGUAAUUGUCAAACCUCUGAAUCUAGUCACAGUUUGUUCCUCCCUGCUGCUGCUGUCUGAAGUUUUAAACCCUGAAACCAUGCAGUCUGGUUCAAUCUAUCAACCCAAAUAAGGGCUGUAUUAUUUUAUCAACCCUGGUUUUCAUUCAUAACCUCAGGUAAAUGAACGGAAAUCAACCGGUGACCAUAAGCAGACCAAGUCCAGGUCAAUGAUAAUGAUCCGCAGUCCCUUGGGACUCCGUUAACAUGCUCUAUUUGCCUCAGCUUAUUGAGUAAAGACUGCCGGAGCUUAGCUUCAUCGCUUCUCCUUCGGCUGAGCAGCAAAGACUUCUAACAUAUGUUCAAUACUCUAAUGAGGUCUGACGCUUCCCAUUCAUUAUCACGUUUAACGCCUGAAAUUGAAAGACGGAGCGUCAGGUCGUCGAUGGAGAAGGUCGAUGUUUCGACUGCGGCACAUCCAAAGUCCCUGACCUGCUCUUAUUGGUAAACAGACUUCCAGGCGUUUUUUAAAACCCGGAGCUGCUCUGGGGCCGGUUUAUGGUGCUUACCAGGAAAUCAAUACCACUUGGUCCAACAUGACUUGUUUAGACGGACAUCAGAUCAACAACGAUUAAGGAGUCCGUCAGCCUGGACCGCUCUAUAGAAGGUGGUUUGAACUUUAUGACGUUAGCAGCUUGGCUAACGUUUGUAAGUUUGACAUAUUUGCAGAGCUUGACACUAACUUUUUUCACAAGGAGCACAUGUGAUCAAAUAAUGUUUGUCUUAUUGGUCGACAUAAGUACUAUUAUUUGAAAUCAAUUUUAGGUCAGUUUGUCACAUGACAUGGAAGCUAUAGAAGGAAAACAGCCUUUUUUGAGAACAUCAACCGGUAAUUUAUUGACGGUCCCUUAAUCAACAUGGAACUAUAAAGCACUGCUGUUGCUUUUCCCGGUUAUGGAGAGUGAGAAGACAAAUCCACAGUGAAUGUCCAUCAGAUAUCCAACCUAAAACUAACUUCGCCACAUUUUCUGAUUCGCACACAUCUAUUGUUAGUUGCAAAUGCGAAUGAAAUGGCUGCACUGUCGAGCCCUGAAUUGACUGGGAAGACUUGGAAAUCAUGGACAGAGUCUGAGUAUGAUCACCAAGGAGUUCUGGUUUCUCAAGACAUAUUAUGAAGCUUAAAAAAGACUUUUACUAGUUGAAAAUCUUGAAUCUGUAAAAUUCUCCAGUUUUCUUGCAAUUUUGACACCAAAGACAUUUCUUUUUUUUAUUCCUCCCAGGUAACUUCUUGGAUUUUGAGGCCAAAAACAAGAUAAACUCUCCCUGAAUGCACCUCAAAUCAUGUGACGACCAUACAAACAGGUGUGUGCAGCUCUGUCUACAUCUCAAGCGGUGCAGGAGAAAAGCUUGCAGAUGCGUCAUCACGUCGCUCAUCGCUCAAAAGAUGUGAUCAUGCAAAGCUGGGAUGGAUAAACAUGAUCUCUAGCAGGUCUAAGAGAGUUGAACAGGCUGUAGAGUACAGCUCAUGUGAUCUCACUUUGCAGAUCCAUCGUUUUUGCUCGCUCAGAUCCCAUUUAUGCUUUCUACAGCGAAACUCCAAGAGUCUGACUUUGUGUCAAAGAGAGG